UCGGGAAUUUUGCGCAAUGGACGAAAGUCUGACGCAGCAACGCCGCGUGAGGGAUGACGGCCUUCGGGUUGUAAACCUCUUUUGUCAGGGACGAUGAUGACGGUACCUGACGAAUAAGCCACGGCUAACUACGUGCCAGCAGCCGCGGUAAUACGUAGGUGGCAAGCGUUGUCCGGAUUUACUGGGCGUAAAGAGCGCGCAGGCGGUCGUUCAAGUCGCGUGUGAAAGCCCCCGGCUCAACUGGGGAGGGUCACGCGAUACUGAUCGACUCGAAGGCAGGAGAGGGUAGUGGAAUUCCCGGUGUAGUGGUGAAAUGCGUAGAUAUCGGGAGGAACACCAGUGGCGAAGGCGACUACCUGGCCUGUUUCUUGACGCUGAGGCGCGAAAGCUAGGGGAGCGAAACGGGAUUAGAUACCCCGGUAGUCCUAGCCGUAAACGAUGGACACUAGGUGUUGGUGGUAUCAACCCGCCAGUGCCGAAGCUAACGCAUUAAG
rnacentral:rRNA from 1 species